rnacentral:rRNA from 1 species
UACGUAGGGGGCGAGCGUUGUCCGGAUUUAUUGGGCGUAAAGAGCUCGUAGGCGGCUUAGCAAGUCGGGUGUGAAAACUCCAGGCUCAACCUGGAGACGCCACUCGAGACUGCUAUGGCUAGAGUCCGGUAGGGGACCACGGAAUUCCUGGUGUAGCAGUGAAAUGCGCAGAUAUCAGGAGGAACACCGGUGGCGAAGGCGGUGGUCUGGGCCGGCACUGACGCUGAGGAGCGAAAGCCAGGGGAGCAAACGGG